rnacentral:lncRNA from 1 species
UUCGCUCAUUUUAAUGCAUACUUAGCGUUGUCUGUCUUUCAGCCAAUCAGCUAGGGCGAAUCUUACGUCACGUUGAUUAAUAUUAAUGAGGCACAAACCUCUGGGUGGAUCCCGGUAGAAACACUGAUGUUGAUGAUAAAUACUGCUGUCAUCUCAACCAGAUCACAUUCACUGCUUAUUCAUCAUGGACUUCGAUCUGUGCUCAGGUAAACAGAUGCAGAAAUGAUAUACCAGUAAACACACACUGGUUGAUUUCUAAGAGAAACUAACAGUUUUAUUCCUGUUUUGGAGCAGCUGUUGGAGAUGAUGAGGUGAAGAAGCAGGAGGGCAACGAGGUGGAGGGCAUCUUUGGCUUUGGAAAAAAAGAUAAAGACAAAGAAGAAAAAGAUAAAGAGUGUAAGGACAAAGACAAAGAUAGUGACAAGCCAAAGAGUGAUUGCAAAGAAGAGGAUAAAGACAAGGACAAGUGCAAAGACAAAGAGAAGGACAAGAGCAAAGACAAAGAGAAGGACAAGUGCAAAGACAAGGAAAAGAAGAAGGAUAAAGAGCACAAAAAGGGGCACGGACAUGGUCAUGGUCGGGGACGUGGACGCGGACGCGGACACAGGUCAUCCUCUUCAUCCAGUGAUGAGGACUAAAGCUGAAGACUGAAGACAUAAGGGGGCUGGGGCAAGUUGUCACACAGGGAAAAUGUCCUAAGGGAUUUAUUUUUAUAGCAACUGUGAGGUUUUGUCAAAAAAAUCCAAUUGCACAAAUGCUUGUUUUCUAGCAGUGGUUUUAUAUGUUGGUUUCAAACACCUAGUUGCUCCAUUUGUAUUAAAUUAGGAUAAUAUUUUUGGAAUUGUGUCCUACAGACAAAAAUUUCAGUACUAUUAUCUUUUUAUACAUUGGUGCGAGCUGUUACAUGAGUUCUGUGAUGUACUGCAUAUACAGUAUCUAUGAAAAUCUCCUGUUAUUUUUUUGUUUUUUAAUUUUUUUGCUGUUUGUUUUACUGUUAAAGACAUUAUAUAGCCUGUAAUACAUUUGAAAUAUUAUAUUGUGGAAAAUGGAUUGAUUUUAUGUAUUUUAGUAUGUCAUGUUUGUUUUCUCAAAACAAUUCCCAUUCUUGUGAUUUAUCCCAUAUAUAGUGACAACAUGGCCCACUAAACAUAAGUCAACAUAAUGAACGUUAGGCUAUAUUUAUACUGGAUAAUAAUGAUAGACAUGUCCAAUAGUUGUUUCAGGGUGGUGACUAUUGAAAAAGUGACAUAAGUGACUUUUCAAAAUAAACUUACUGUGAGAAAUUAAUUGGUAUAAAAAGUUGUCCUAGACUCCUUUAUUUACACUACAGUACAACAUAUAUAUAUAUAUAUAUAUACACAGUGGGUACGGAAAGUAUUCAGAC